UAGGGAAUCUUCCGCAAUGGACGCAAGUCUGACGGAGCAACGCCGCGUGAGUGAAGAAGGAUUUCGGUUCGUAAAACUCUGUUAUUAGGGAAGAACAAAUGUGUAAGUAACUAUGCACGUCUUGACGGUACCUAAUCAGAAAGCCACGGCUAACUACGUGCCAGCAGCCGCGGUAAUACGUAGGUGGCAAGCGUUAUCCGGAAUUAUUGGGCGUAAAGCGCGCGUAGGCGGUUUUUUAAGUCUGAUGUGAAAGCCCACGGCUCAACCGUGGAGGGUCAUUGGAAACUGGAAAACUUGAGUGCAGAAGAGGAAAGUGGAAUUCCAUGUGUAGCGGUGAAAUGCGCAGAGAUAUGGAGGAACACCAGUGGCGAAGGCGACUUUCUGGUCUGUAACUGACGCUGAUGUGCGAAAGCGUGGGGAUCAAACAGG
rnacentral:rRNA from 1 species